AUGAGAAACUGGAAUGAAGGAGUCUCUCUUAGAACACUGAGAGGACCGCGAACGUAUCGACCAUAUAGCAGUUCAAAUGGGGAGAAUCCAGUUGAUGACUGCGGAACCUCUCGAUAUGCGAAAAGCAGAUUCCUCGGACGAUGAGCGGCCAAAAACACCUCUGCAAGGUCUGCAGCUUCCUUGGAGGUUUUAGGUCGAUGUUCCUCCA